CUCUCUAACCUCUCGGAUCUCUCUGCACUCUCUCAUCUCCUUCUUUGCUAUGUCAACAGCCUCGGACUCAACACUCUCUCUAAUCCCUCGAAUCGUCUCUGCACUCUCUGCUCUACUUCUCCUCCUUGUCCUCCUCAACCAUCUUCCUCCCUCUCAUAUACUUCCUCUUCCUCUUCAUUUUCACGCAACAGCGCCGCCGUCCACCGGUCACCAACGGCCGCCAAAUUAAACUUCUAGAAUCCUUUUUCCGUCCUCUUUCCAACCCCCAAAUUAGUUUCUACAAAUUCGUAACCGAAUUUCCUCAAUUUCAGAUCUAAGAAACGGUGACCAUUGGUUUUCCGUCCAAUUUCUGGCUAAGCCCUGUCGGAAUUGGACCUCGACCCAAGAGAUCAGUGAACAAUUUCUGGGUGUCCAUAGAGUGCAAGCAAGGUGAACUUCGACGGUUGGUUAUGGCAGUUUUUUUGGUGCGUACCGUUUCGUUCCUGCCAUAUGGGUAACGUCAUUCCUUUCUUGAUUAGAAUUAUUAACUUCUAUUGGUAUUCAUGAGUGAUAGCUAUUCUUUGUUUGAGAUGGGUAAUCUUGGUUGAGAAAUUUGUUCUAAUCAGCCGCAAAAUAUGGUCGGAAGUUUGUUGUCCUUGAAGUUCAUGACUUGGAAUCGUCGGGGUUGUUCCCGGCUAGGAUAUUUUGUCAAGCUUCCUUUUUAGAUUGAAUAAAUUAUCUUGAUAUUUUCUGUUCUAUAUCGAAUAAAUUUAUCAUUUGCUGUUGCAUCUCAUGGUCAGUGUGGGGGUUUCCUGUUAUUAAGGAACUCUAUUUCGGUUAAUUUUAAGAAUACUAAGGUUCGGAUAUGUUUUUGGAUGAAAGGUGACCUUUCUUUUUGAUAUUGGAGGGGUGUUGCAUAAAAUUUGAUACCUGCAAGGCUGCACACAAGUCAAUAACAUGAAAUAUGGAUGGUGUGUAAAUUCAUCCGUCUUAGAGGUUUUGAGUUUCAUAUGUAUAGUCAAUUAUCGUACGUUCAAAGUUUGUUAUUGACCAAAAGAAAGACGAUGGGAAGCCAAGGGUUAUGGCUACUCUGAAUAAUAAUAAUAAAAUCUAAUCUUUGUAACUGGAAAACUUAAUCUAAUUAUUUGUUCUGGGAUUGUCAUGGAUAAUUAUAUUCUAGUAACGAGGUACAUGACUUCUUUGUGAAAGCUCAUGUUUUGUGUUCAGUUCAUCAUUUUGUGUUUUGGAAAAGAACAGAUCAAAUAGUGUAGAAAGUUUCAGUUUGAUUGCUUAGUUCAGAUUACUUUAAGAAAUUUGGGUUUGAGCGGACAUUUGUUUGUGGUAAUUGUUAUCCAGCUUUCUUGUUCAGAUGCAAUUGCGUUCUAGUCAUGUGCAAAAGAAAAAUGUACCUCACUAGCAAAAUGCUUUUCGAAAUUAAAAUGAACAUCCAGUGCUGACUUGUUCUCUGCAUGUUGCUUCGUGUGCAGAGAACACGAAGUAUAUGGAAGAGUGGCUCUCUUCUCUGAGCAGCAGCUGACACCGGAUGAAAUGGAUACUGGCCUAGUUUGAUGUAAUUACUUACUAGUAGUACGGGACUGGCUAAUAUAACUUUGAGUAGCAGAGAUGGGAGUAUUAUAGAGGAUUCUAGUGCCAGUAUUGCUGGAAGGUGGUUUGUUUUCCUGCUGCCUUUGCCUUGGGAUUGACUUGGAAGGAGGCUGCUGCUACUGUCUUACUCGCAAUUCAAAAUUAUGGUACUAGAUCUCUUUAAGGGAAUUAGAUCCCUCAUAUCUCAAAAUGGUAUAUAUAUAUUUAACAUGUAUUUCUACAUAGUUCAUGCCUAUUUUGGUUUAAAAGUAGAAUUGGAUAUAUGAUGUUCACCAUAUACUACUGAAUAUCAUGCAAAACCCAUUUUUGGAUUGAGGUGUUGGUCGUUAGUCUUAUACUCUUUGAAUACUGUUUGAAAAUUCUUUUUAAGAAAACGUACAAUUGCCAAAUUACUCCACAUGUAUAAAAGUAAUUUAUUUAAAGGAUGGAAUUGGUCUUUUAGUAUUAUGUGUACUCAUGCCUUUUAGUGAUGGUUUGUACUUGUGAUUAGGUUAAUUGCGUGGAGUAUUUGGGACUGGGGCGUGACAAUAGAUGCCAAAUGGUAUUGUAUCUCAUUUUGGAGUUUGGUGUUGUGAACCCUUUUGUACAUACAAGUUUAAAAUAUAUAUGCAUAUAUGUUUAUAUGCACGUGGCAUGAGGUCAUUGAUUUUUUGGGUGCAAUACAUCUUAAUUCUAAGAAGAGGAGAUUUGACUCUAUAAGUGCAGGUAUUGGAUUGCUCUGCUCUCUCAGUGUAAGUACAUCUCUGCAUAUCUUUAUUUCCUCAAUUAUAUUUGACUUUGUUAUGUUGAGUUGCCAAAUUAAAGGUAUUGCACUACUUUUUCGAUACUACAUUAAAUCUGGAACAUGUGAAACAUUAAAUUUUGAGUGUUAAUCAUUGAACAGGGGCUGCAUUUUAAAUUUGUAAACAUCCACUGUAAUGGUUUGGGGCUUGAUAGUUGUACCAAAUCUCUUUUUCUUAUUCCCAUGUGCAUGUCCAUGUGUAGACCUUUUUGCAGCUUUCUAAGUUUAGGUUUUUCUUGAUGUGUGCUUAAGUGGUUUGGGAUUACUUUCCUUUGCAG
rnacentral:lncRNA from 1 species